rnacentral:sRNA from 1 species
UUGGCUUUAACUCAUUUUCGAAAACCCAA